rnacentral:rRNA from 1 species
AGAGUUUGAUCCUGGCUCAGAACGAACGCUGGCGGCAGGCUUAACACAUGCAAGUCGAACGCCCCGCAAGGGGAGUGGCAGACGGGUGAGUAACGCGUGGGAACGUGCCCUUCGCUUCGGAAUAGCCCCGGGAAACUGGGAGUAAUACCGGAUACGCCGUAUUGGGAAAGAUUUAUCGGCGAAGGAUCGGCCCGCGUUAGAUUAGCUAGUUGGCGGUGUAAUGGACCACCAAGGCUACGAUCUAUAGCUGGUCUGAGAGGAUGAUCAGCCACACUGGGACUGAGACACGGCCCAGACUCCUACGGGAGGCAGCAGUGGGGAAUCUUGGACAAUGGGCGCAAGCCUGAUCCAGCCAUGCCGCGUGAGUGAAGAAGGCCUUAGGGUUGUAAAACUCUUUCGCCGGAGAAGAUAAUGACGGUAUCCGGAGAAGAAGCCCCGGCUAACUUCGUGCCAGCAGCCGCGGUAAUACGAAGGGGGCUAGCGUUGUUCGGAAUUACUGGGCGUAAAGCGCACGUAGGCGGGUUUGUAAGUACGGCUACCUUGUUACGACUUAGAGUCUGAGCCAGGAUCAAAC